GGUGAAAAGUGUAUACUUUUUGCACUUAUCAGAUAUAUAUUCUCUAGUAGAGUCCCAUCCAAGAAAGAGGGAACUACUAUCUAUAUCACCCCAUCUUUAGCUAAGAGAGAGGAGGUCAAGUACUAAGGCUAAUCAAUAAUGAUAGUUGAAGGAAGACGAAAACAUAAGCAUCGACUAACUCUGUGUCAGCAACCGCGGUAAGACUGAGCAUGCAAAUGUUAUCCGGAAUGAUUGGGUGUAAAGUAUCUAUGGGUGGCUUUUUAAGUUCGCCAUCAAAUCCUAGGGCUCAACCCCAGAAGGCGGUGGAAACUACCAAGCUGGAGUAGGAUACGGGAAGAGGGAAUUUCCGAUGGAGCAGUGAAAUGCGUAGAGAUUGGAAAGAACACCAACGGUGAAAGCACUCUGCUAGGCCGAUAAACCCUAAACCCCCAAACAACCCCCCUAAACCCCUAAACCCUAACGAACAAGAUGAUUUUUUAU
rfam:Lupinus angustifolius cultivar Tanjil chromosome LG09, whole genome shotgun sequence.